ACACUAUCAUUAACUGAAUCCAUAGGUUAAUGAGGCGAACCGGGGGAACUGAAACAUCUAAGUACCCCGAGGAAAAGAAAUCAACCGAGAUUCCCCCAGUAGCGGCGAGCGAACGGGGAGGAGCCCAGAGCCUGAAUCAGCAUGUGUGUUAGUGGAAGCGUCUGGAAAGGCGCGCGAUACAGGGUGACAGCCCCGUACACAAAAGCGCAUGUGCUGUGAGCUCGAUGAGUAGGGCGGGACACGUGGUAUCCUGUCUGAAUAUGGGGGGACCAUCCUCCAAGGCUAAAUACUCCUGACUGACCGAUAGUGAACCAGUACCGUGAGGGAAAGGCGAAAAGAACCCCGGCGAGGGGAGUGAAAAAGAACCUGAAACCGUGUACGUACAAGCAGUGGGAGCACCCUUUUGGGUGUGACUGCGUACCUUUUGUAUAAUGGGUCAGCGACUUAUAUUCUGUAGCAAGGUUAACCGUAUAGGGGAGCCGGAGGGAAACCGAGUCUUAAUUGGGCGUUAAGUUGCAGGGUAUAGACCCGAAACCCGGUGAUCUAGCCAUGGGCAGGUUGAAGGUUGGGUAACACUAACUGGAGGACCGAACCGACUAAUGUUGAAAAAUUAGCGGAUGACCUGUGGCUGGGGGUGAAAGGCCAAUCAAACCGGGAGAUAGCUGGUUCUCCCCGAAAGCUAUUUAGGUAGCGCCUCGUGAAUUCAUCUCCGGGGGUAGAGCACUGUUUCGGCUAGGGGGCCAUCCCGGCUUACCAACCCGAUGCAAACUGCGAAUACCGGAGAAUGUUAUCACGGGAGACACACGGCGGGUGCUAACGUCCGUCGUGAAGAGGGAAACAACCCAGACCGCCAGCUAAGGUCCCAAAGUCAUGGUUAAGUGGGAAACGAUGUGGGAAGGCCCAGACAGCCAGGAUGUUGGCUUAGAAGCAGCCAUCAUUUAAAGAAAGCGUAAUAGCUCACUGGUCGAGUCGGCCUGCGCGGAAGAUGUAACGGGGCUAAACCAUGCACCGAAGCUGCGGCAGCGACACUAUGUGUUGUUGGGUAGGGGAGCGUUCUGUAAGCCUGUGAAGGUGUGCUGUGAGGCAUGCUGGAGGUAUCAGAAGUGCGAAUGCUGACAUAAGUAACGAUAAAGCGGGUGAAAAGCCCGCUCGCCGGAAGACCAAGGGUUCCUGUCCAACGUUAAUCGGGGCAGGGUGAGUCGACCCCUAAGGCGAGGCCGAAAGGCGUAGUCGAUGGGAAACGGGUUAAUAUUCCCGUACUUGGUGUUACUGCGAAGGGGGGACGGAGAAGGCUAUGUUGGCCGGGCGACGGUUGUCCCGGUUUAAGCGUGUAGGUGUGUGUUCCAGGUAAAUCCGGUUCACUUUAACACUGAGGCGUGAUGACGAGGCACUACGGUGCUGAAGCAACAAAUGCCCUGCUUCCAGGAAAAGCCUCUAAGCAUCAGGUAACAUCAAAUCGUACCCCAAACCGACACAGGUGGUCAGGUAGAGAAUACCAAGGCGCUUGAGAGAACUCGGGUGAAGGAACUAGGCAAAAUGGUGCCGUAACUUCGGGAGAAGGCACGCUGACACGUAGGUGAAGUGAUUUACUCAUGGAGCUGAAGUCAGUCGAAGAUACCAGCUGGCUGCAACUGUUUAUUAAAAACACAGCACUGUGCAAACACGAAAGUGGACGUAUACGGUGUGACGCCUGCCCGGUGCCGGAAGGUUAAUUGAUGGGGUCAGCGCAAGCGAAGCUCCUGAUCGAAGCCCCGGUAAACGGCGGCCGUAACUAUAACGGUCCUAAGGUAGCGAAAUUCCUUGUCGGGUAAGUUCCGACCUGCACGAAUGGCGUAAUGAUGGCCAGGCUGUCUCCACCCGAGACUCAGUGAAAUUGAACUCGCUGUGAAGAUGCAGUGUACCCGCGGCAAGACGGAAAGACCCCGUGAACCUUUACUAUAGCUUGACACUGAACAUUGAGCCUUGAUGUGUAGGAUAGGUGGGAGGCUUUGAAGUGUGGACGCCAGUCUGCAUGGAGCCGACCUUGAAAUACCACCCUUUAAUGUUUGAUGUUCUAACGUGGACCCGUGAUCCGGGUUGCGGACAGUGUCUGGUGGGUAGUUUGACUGGGGCGGUCUCCUCCUAAAGAGUAACGGAGGAGCACGAAGGUUGGCUAAUCCUGGUCGGACAUCAGGAGGUUAGUGCAAUGGCAUAAGCCAGCUUGACUGCGAGCGUGACGGCGCGAGCAGGUGCGAAAGCAGGUCAUAGUGAUCCGGUGGUUCUGAAUGGAAGGGCCAUCGCUCAACGGAUAAAAGGUACUCCGGGGAUAACAGGCUGAUACCGCCCAAGAGUUCAUAUCGACGGCGGUGUUUGGCACCUCGAUGUCGGCUCAUCACAUCCUGGGGCUGAAGUAGGUCCCAAGGGUAUGGCUGUUCGCCAUUUAAAGUGGUACGCGAGCUGGGUUUAGAACGUCGUGAGACAGUUCGGUCCCUAUCUGCCGUGGGCGCUGGAGAACUGAGGGGGGCUGCUCCUAGUACGAGAGGACCGGAGUGGACGCAUCACUGGUGUUCGGGUUGUCAUGCCAAUGGCACUGCCCGGUAGCUAAAUGCGGAAGAGAUAAGUGCUGAAAGCAUCUAAGCACGAAACUUGCCCCGAGAUGAGUUCU
rnacentral:rRNA from 1 species